AAUCUCCUCCCGAAAACCCCCAAAUUUAAUUGUAUUGCCUCGCCGUUUCCCUCGCGACGGAGAACUCGACGGGCCACUGUCCACUCGCCUCGCCGUUUCGUCGUCGCCGGUUUGCUUCGUCAUCGAAUCAGUGAUUCCCAAAACCAAGAUGUUUGGAAGGCCACCUGCUGCUGCUGCUACUACAAGGUUGGUUUAUUGUUAGGGUGCGAAAUUGAUCAAAAACUCUCAUGCUCACCCUAUUGGUAGAACCCAAUUUGUUAGACUCAAGUCGGCGGUUUCAGCUGUUGCUUCCGAGUUAAGGAGGCCUCCUCCUUACUACUUGCCUGGCUUAGUUGCUUCUGAUGAAGACGAAGAUAUAAUUUGUGCCCAUAAAAACAGCAGCAAUGGCGUGGGUAAUGCUUUGGGGCAAUUGGAUACUUGCAAGGUUGUUGAAGAACAGUUUGAGAGAAGAACCAUGCCAUGCACUCUCAUUCUUUGACCAACUCAAGGAACAAGGUUUUGUGCACAAUGUUAGCACUUACAUGGCCAUUAUUAGGAUAUUGUGUUAUUGGGGUAUGGCUACGAGGUUGGAUUCUAUCUUAUUGGGGGUUUUCAAAUCCAACGACCAACAUUUGGGUUUCAAAGUUUCUGAUUUAUUUGAAGCACUAAUCGAGAGGAUUGAAGCAAAGGGCCCGGAGUCGUUGAUACGGGCGUUUGAUGCAUUGGUAAAGGCUUACGUUAGCAUUGGCAACUUCGAUGAUCGUUUGAUUGAGAGCGGAAAAAAUGAUAGGGCUGUGGCUGUCUUUUGGCAAUUCAAGCAGCUUGGUUUGAGCCCCAACAACUAUAGCUACUGCAUUGUGAUUAAGGCACUCUGCAGAAAAGGUAGUUUGGACGAGGCUGCUGACAUUUUUCAAGAGAUGGAGGAAGCUGGUUUGACCCCAAAUGCCUUCACAAAUACAACCUAUAUUGAGAGGCUCUGCUCGCAAACAAGGUCAGACUUUGGGUAUGAAGUGCUCAAAGCAUGGAGGGAGCAAAAUAUUCCAAUUGAUGUGUUUACUUAUUUGGUAGUUAUUCGUGGAUUUGUCAAUGAGUCGAAAUUAAAAGAAGCUGAGUGCAUGUUGCUUGAUAUGGAUGAACAUGGAGUGGUUCCAGAUGCAUACUGUUGUCGUUCCUUAAUCUGUGGGUAUUGUAAGAUUGGGCAUAUACUUAAAGCUUUGGCGCUUCAUAAUGAAAUGGCAGCGAAGUGUAUCAAAAGUUCAAAACCAAUUGCGUGAUUGUUGGUGUGAUUCUUCAAUGCUUGUGCCAAACGGGCAUGGCUGAUGAGGCAGUGGACCAGUUCAACAACUUCAAGGAGUUAAGGAUAUUCCCUUGAUGAGGUGGCAUACAAUAUCGUAGUUAAUGCAUUAUGCAAACUGGGAAAAUUAGAAGCAGCAGUCGGGUUGCUGGAUGAGAUGAAGGGUAAGAAGAUGAGUUUGGAUGUUGUGCACUAUACUACUUUAAUUGGUGGAUACUGUCUUCAAGGAAAACUUGUUGAUGCCUCGAAACUAUUUGAGGAAAUAAAGGAAAAAGGUUUGAAACCUGACAUUGUUACUUACAACGUACUGGCUCGUGGGCUUUCGAGAAAUGGCCUUGCACAAGAGGCCUUAAAUCUUUUGGAUUACAUGGAGGGACAAGGAUUGAAAGCAAGCGUUGUUACCAUAAAAUGAUCAUUGAAGGCUUAUGCACAGGAGGGAAGGUCAAGGAAGCUGAAAUGUUUUUUAAUGUUUUGGAACAAAAGUGUCUAGGCCAUUGUGAUGCCAUGGUCAAUGGCUACUGUGAAGCAGGCAAUACAAGAGAGGCUUAUGAACUCUUCGUUAAGCUUCCCAAGCAAGGUUUUUCAUUGAGUAGGAGUUUGUGCUUAAAACUUCUAAGUAACCUUUGUAUAGAAGGUGAUAAUGAUAAGGCUCUUGAGCUAUUUGAGGCAGUUCUGGCUUCAGAUUAUGACCCUUGUAAAUAAUGUACAGCAAACUCAUAGCUGCUUUUUGUAGCUCUGGAGAUAUGAGAAAGGCCCAAUGGGUGUUUGAUGCAAUGGUUCGGACUGGGAUAACUCCUGAUGUUAUUAACUACACCAUGAUGAUAAAAGGUUAUUGUAGGGUUAAUUGCUUGCGGGAAGCUUGUGAAGUUCUCAAGGAUAUGAAGGCGAGGGGUAUUGAACCAGAUGUUAUCACUUACACAGUUUUGAUUGAUGGGCAUUCUAAAGAAAAAAUGAAGAAGGACCGCUGCCUUCCAAAUGUUGAAGGGAACAAAGGAGAACAGAAUGAGGUUGCCACUUUGUGGAGUGAAAUGAAAGAGAUUGAACAAAAACCUGAUGUUAUUUUGUAUUCAAUUUUGAUUGAUUGUCAUUGUAAAUCAGACAACCUUGAGGAUGCUGCUGUCCUUUUUUUAUGAAAAUGAUUGAUAGAGGUCUAGAACCGGACAAUGUGACGUACACAGCUCUCCUACGUGGCUAUUGUCGUUGGGGAUACGCGGAUAGGGCUGUAAGCCUUCUUAAUGACAUGAUAUCUAGGGGGAUUCAGCCGGAUUCCCAUACCAUGUCAGUGUUGCACCAUGGAAUAUUACAGGCCGAGAAGGUGCAGUUUUGUCACUGAGGACUGAGAAAAACUUUGGCUAGACAAAUCACUAAAUCAGUACCAUGGCAGUGUCGUAACAUUGCAUGUUAAAGGUCAAGAAAGUGCAGCAUUGGCAUGAAGGACCGGUGGAGGAUGAGGAUGGCAGUCACUAUUGAAUUGUGAUUCCAAGAUUGGGUUGAAGAGGUCGUCUUUUUUAUCUCCACAGUAGAUCCUUUCGUGGCAACAUUGGGUCCUACCGAGCGGUAAUGAUGUCAUUCACCAUAUGCUAGGAAAGGUACAUGACAAGAAAACUGUUGGACCAAGACUUUUUUACGGAUUGCUCCUGCAUUUUGUGUGCUGCUAUUUCUGAGGUGGAACUGAGACAAGGCUGGAUGGGAGUCUUUGAUGAGUCUAUACUCAUAUUUGCAUCUAGAAGAUGAUAAUGCCGGUGGUGGCUGGUGCUGCGGUGGGCAGUGGACGGGCAUAUAGAUUGCUCGGACAGAAUUUGGAAGAAAGACGUACAAGAAGAGAGAAGCUGAAGCGGUUGGAGUUGUAAAUGUGUCAGAUUAGGGUACAAUGCAUUUCACCCUACAUAAUGCUUUUAAUUUUGCAAGUCAUGUCACAUCGGGUUGUAUAAUUUUCACUAACCUGCUACACGACGGAUAAGGCCCAUUCGGUGGAUGGCUUAAAAUCACUCUUAACUCAGGUUGGUUGGAAACACUAUGAAGGAAACUCUAUAAUGACGUACCAAAAGGAAAACUCUAUAAUCCGCUCUGUAAUGGAUUAGGCCUUUUUGGUUCCUUUUGUUUGAGCAUAAUGAAAUCACAUAUUACCGAAAAAAAGACAUUAAUGAUU